rnacentral:rRNA from 1 species
AGUGAACGCUGGCGGUAGGCCUAACACAUGCAAGUCGAACGGCAGCACAGUAAGAGCUUGCUCUUACGGGUGGCGAGUGGCGGACGGGUGAGGAAUACAUCGGAAUCUACUUUUUCGUGGGGGAUAACGUAGGGAAACUUACGCUAAUACCGCAUACGACCUACGGGUGAAAGCAGGGGAUCUUCAGACCUUGCGCGAUUGAAUGAGCCGAUGUCGGAUUAGCUAGUUGGCGGGGUAAAGGCCCACCAGGGCGACGAUCCGUAGCGGGCCUGAGAGGAUGACCAGCCACACGGGACCUGAGACACGUUCCAGCCUCCUACGGGAGGCAGCAGUGGGGAAUAUUGGCAAUGGGCGCAAGCCUGAUCCAGCCAUACCGCGUGGGUGAAGAAGGCCUUCGUGUUGUAAAGCCCUUUUGUUGGGAAAGAAAAGCAGCAGGUUAAUACCCCGCUGUUCUGACGGUACCCAAAGAAUAAGCACCGGCUAACUUCGUG